rnacentral:lncRNA from 1 species
UAUUGUACAGGCCUGGAUACUCUGCUUUAUUGUGAGUCCUUGAGAGCGGGAGCCGCGGCUCAUUUAGUUCACCAUCCCCACUGAUUAGCAUAAUUCCUGGCACAUACAUAGUAGAUAAUCUAAUGAGUUUUCCAAAAAGGAAGAAAUUGAUGAUCCCCCUGGAAAUCAAGUCCCUGAAUGGGUGACACCGUUCAAAGGUAUGAACAUGGUCUUAAGGCUCAAGUGAAAACUCCAUGAUGAACAGUGACGGCUGUCACAUAAGGAAGAUGCCUGGAAGCAAACUGAAGAAUGUGCCAUUAUGAGUCUGCACUGCUGGGUUCAAAACAAAACAAGUAGAAAGAAGCCACCUAAUUUUGGCCUUGUCAACCCUUCAUGAGAUGUAUGACAACAGGCAAAUGGAUACAAUUUUGACUUAAACAUGAAUACAGUAAUUUGAAAUCCUGCCAGGAUUUCAUUUUAACCUCUGUAGAUGACAAGUAGAGGACAAAUGUAAUUCUCUCUCACUGCUCUUCUGGAAGAAUUGUCUUGGCACCUUUCUUUCUUCCUAAUUCCCUUCUCCAUCCUUUUCUUCCAUCCUUCCCACCUCUCUUGGCUCUUCCCUUCUAUCUCUCUCCAUCUCUCCUCAUAUUUUUCUACUGCUCCCCUCUGCUUUUGCCCUUUGCAGGAAUCACGGCUUUUGAUUUACAGGGCUCAUUUAAAUUCUGCCUAUGUGACCUUGGGCAAGUUGCUUCAUCUUUUGGAGCUUACUCUCCUCAUCUGUAACACUGGAAUAUUAAUAUGCAUUACUAAUAUUCCAGUCAGGCUCAAUGAUAUUAUGUAUGUAAAAUGCUCAGCACAGACUAGAGGGAGUGCAUUUGAAGAGAAGUAGAAGAAAAUUGUAUUUGCUGUGGGGUAGUGGGGAUUGUAAACAAGAGACUGUGUUAGUUCUAAGUUCUCCCUGUCUCAAACCAGCCAGAGUCCAAAGUGCCUCAUCUGUUGGAUGACAGUGCUUGGAAGCCCUGCCAAUGAAAUGGCCACUGCAGAGUGUUUGUCUCCUAAUGGUAAAGUGUGGUGAUUAAGUCCCUUACAUUUAAAGUCAGAUUACCAGGGUUCAAACUUUUGCUCAGCAGUGGCAUGGCCACAGGUAAGAUC